AGAGUUGAUCAUGGCUCAGGACGAACGCUGGCGGCGUGCUUAACACAUGCAAGUCGAACGGGCGUAGCAAUACGUCAGUGGCGGACGGGUGAGUAACACGUGAGCAACCUGCCUCUGUCAGGGGGAUAACUGUGAGAAAUCACGGCUAAUACCGCAUAAGACCACGUCCCGGCAUCGGGAUGGGGGUAAAAGAAUUUCGGACAGAGAUGGGCUCGCGUCCCAUUAGGUAGUUGGUGAGGUAACGGCCCACCAAGCCAGCGAUGGGUAGCCGACCUUAGAGGGUGAUCGGCCACACUGGAACUGAGAGACGGUCCAGACUCCUACGGGAGGCAGCAGUGGGGAAUAUUGGGCAAUGGAGGAAAAACCUCUGACCCAGCAACGCCGCGUGAAUGAAGAAGGUCUUCGGAUUGUAAAGUUCUGUGACCGGGGACGAAAAAACUGACGGUACCGGAGAGGAAGCUCCGGCAAACUACGUGCCAGCCGCCGC
rnacentral:rRNA from 1 species